rnacentral:rRNA from 1 species
CUUUACUAUAGCCUGGAAUUGUGUUCGGGCUUCGCUUACGCAGGAUAGGUGGGAGGCUGUGAAGUUCUGCUUGUGGGCAGAAUCGAGCCAACGGUGAGAUACCACUCUAGCGAGGCUAGAAUUCUAACCCUUACCCGUCAUCCGGGAAGGAGACAGUUUCAGGGGGGUAGUUUGACUGGGGCGGUCGCCUCCUAAAAGGUAACGGAGGCGCGCAAAGGUUCCCUCCGGCUGGUUGGAAAUCAGCCCGAGAGUGCAAAGGCAUAAGGGAGCUUGACUGCAAGACCUACAAGUCGAGCAGGGUGGAAACACGGUCUUAGUGAUCCGACGGUGCCGCAUGGAAGGGCCGUCGCUCAACGGAUAAAAGUUA